AAUCACAAUUAUUGAACAUAAUAGUUAAUAACUUUAAUAUAACACACGGUACUUCCACCAAAUGCAGUUCACAAAUCACUGCUUUCCUGCUGGUUGUACUACAACUUUCAUUUUGAAUGUAAUUGCUUUUGCAAAUUUUUCAUGAUUUUUUAUUAUUAAAAAUAGUUAAAAACUUCACCAUUAUUGAACAUAAUAGUUAUAACUUUACUGUAAAAGAGUGUACUUCCACCAAAUUCAGUUCACACAUCACUGCUCUACUGCUGGUUAUACUACAACUUUGAUUUUAAAAGUAAUUGCUUUGGGCUCAUUUGUUAUGAUUUGUUUAUUAAGAAAAAUUGCUAAUAACUUUACUGUAACACACUCUUUUUCAACCAAAUUCAUUCACACAUCACUGCUCUCCUGCUGGUUUUACUACAACACUCAUAUUGAAAAUAAUUGCUUUGGCACAUUUUUUAAUAUUUUUUAUUAUGAAAAAUAGUUAAUAACUUUACUGUUACAAACUGUACUUUCAUCAAAUUCAGUUCACACAUCACUGCUCUCCUGCUGGUUAUACUACAACUUUGAUUUUGAAAGUAAUUGCGUUGGCUCAUUUAUUGUGAUUGAUUAUUAAGAAAAAUUGCUAAUAACUUUACUGUAACACACGUUUUUUCAACCAAAUUCAGUUCACACAUCACUGCUCUCCUGCUGGUUUUACUACAACACUCAUAUUGAAAAUAAUUGCUUUGAAACAUUUUUAUUAUUUUUAUUAUGAAAAAUAGUUAAUAACUGUACUGUUACAAACUGUACUUUCACCAAAUUCAGUUCACACAUAACUGCUCUCCUGCUGGUUAUACUACAACUUUCAUUUUGAAAGUAAUUGCUUUGGCAAAUGUUUAGAAUUUUUAUUAUGGAAAAUAGUUAAUAAAUUCACCAUUAUUGGACAUAAUAGUUAAUAACUUUAAUGUAACACACUGUACAUUCAUCAAAUUCAGUUCACACAUCACUGCUCUCCUGCUGGCUAUACUACAACUUUGAUUUAGAAAGUAAUUGCGUUGGCUCAUUUGUUAUGAUUUUUUUAUAAAAAAAAUAGGUAAUAAAUCACAAUUAUUGAACAUAAUAGUUAAUAACUUUAAUAUAACACACGGUACUUCCACCAAAUGCAGUUCACAAAUCACUGCUUUCCUGCUGGUUAUACUACAGCUUUCAUUUUGAAUGUAAUUGCUUUUGCAAAUUUUCAUGAUUUUUUUAUUAUUAAAAAUAGUUAAAAACUUCACCAUUAUUGAACAUAAUAGUUAAUAACUUUACUGUAAAAGAGUGUACUUCCACCAAAUUCAGUUCACACAUCACUGCUCUACUGCUGGUUAUACUACAACUUUGAUUUUAAAAGUAAUUGCCUUGGCUCAUUUGUUAUGAUUUGUUUAUUAAGAAAAAUUGCUAAAAACUUUACUGUAACACUUUUUUUUUUAACCAAAUUCAGUUCACACAUCACUGCUCUACUGCUGGUUAUACUACAACUUUCAUUUUGAAAGUAAUUGCUUUGGCACAGUUUUUAUAUUUUUUUUAUUUUGAAAAAUAGUUAAUAACUUCACCAUUAUUGAACAUAACAGUUAAUAACUUUACUGUAACACACUGUACUUUCACCAAAUUCAGUUCAUACAUCACUGCUCUUCUGCUGGUUAUACUACAACUUUCAUUUUGUAAGUAAUUGCUUUGGCAAUUUUUUUUUAUUUUUAUUAAUAAAAUAAAUAAUUAAAUUCACCAUUAUUGGACAUAAUAGUUAAUAACUUUACUGUAAUGCACUGUACUUACACCAAAUUCAGUUCACACAUCACUGCUCUCCAGCUGGUUAUACUACAACUUUCAUUUUGAAUGUAAUUGCUUUGGCACAUUUGUUAUGAUUUUUUAUUAAGAAAAAUUGCUAAUAACUUUACUGUAACACACUGUUUUUCAACCAAACAGUAACAGUAACAGUAAAGUUAUUAACUAUUAACUAUUGUUACAGUAAAGUUAUUUUACUGUUAUUUUAAAAGUAUUUUUGAAAAUAAAAAAUCAUAACAAAUGUGCCAAAGCAAUUACAUUCAAAAUGAAAGUUGUAGUAUAACCAGCAAGAGAGCAGUGAUGUGUGAACUGAAUUUGGUGGAAGUGUGUUACAGUAAAGUUAUUAACUAUUGUUCAAAAUAAAACGUCAUAAAAAUUGUGCCAAAACAAUAACUUUUAAAAUGAGUGUUGUAGUAUAACCAGCAGGAGAGUGGUGAUGUGUGAACUGAAUUUGGUGAAAGUACAGUGUGUUACAGUAAAGUUAUUAACUAUUGUUCAAAAUAAAACAUCAUAAAAAUUGUGCCAAAGCAAUUACUUUUAAAAUGAAAGUUGUAGUAUAACCAGCAGUAGAGCAGUGAUGUGUGAACUGAAUUUGGUGAAAGUACAGUGUGUUACAGUAAAGUUAUUAACUAUUAUGUCCAAUAAUGGUGAUGUUAUUAACUAUUUUUAAUAAUAAAAAAUCAUAAAGAAUGUGCAAAAGCAAUUAAUUUCAAAAUGAGUGUUGUAGUAUAACCAGCAAGAGAGCAGUGAUGUGUGAACUGAAUUUGGUUAAAGUACAGUAUGUUACAGUAAAG
rnacentral:lncRNA from 1 species